AACCAUAGAAACCUGCGGAGUACCUGCGGAAGGAUCAUUACCGAGUGCGGACCUCACCGGUCCAACCUCCCACCCGUGUCUCUGAAUACCCUGUUGCUUUGGCGGGCCCACCGAUUCGUCGGUCGCCGGGGGACCCUGUGUCCCCGGGCCCGCGCCCGCCGGAGCGCCUGAAGAACCCUUAUGAAGAUAGGCUGUCUGAGUGGGAUUGGAUAAUAAUUAAAACUUUCAACAACGGAUCUC
rnacentral:misc_RNA from 1 species